rnacentral:rRNA from 1 species
AAUAGAUACCCGGGUAGUCCACGCCGUAAACGAUGAGUGCUAAGUGUUGGGGGGUUUCCGCCCCUCAGUGCUGCAGCUAACGCAUUAAGCACUCCGCCUGGGGAGUACGGUCGCAAGACUGAAACUCAAAGGAAUUGACGGGGGCCCGCACAAGCGGUGGAGCAUGUGGUUUAAUUCGAAGCAACGCGAAGAACCUUACCAGGUCUUGACAUCCCGGUGACCACUAUGGAGACAUAGUUUCCCCUUCGGGGGCAACGGUGACAGGUGGUGCAUGGUUGUCGUCAGCUCGUGUCGUGAGAUGUUGGGUUAAGUCCCGCAACGAGCGCAACCCUUAUUCUUAGUUGCCAUCAUUCAGUUGGGCACUCUAAGGAGACUGCCGGUGAUAAACCGGAGGAAGGUGGGGAUGACGUCAAAUCAUCAUGCCCCUUAUGACCUGGGCUACACACGUGCUACAAUGGACGGUACGAAACGGUUGCCAACCCGCGAGGGGGAGCUAAUCCGAUAAAACCGUUCUCAGUUCGGAUUGUAGGCUGCAACUCGCCUACAUGAAC